UACGAAGGGUGCAAACGUUGCUCGGAAUCAUUGGGCGUAAAGCGCACGUAGGCGGCUUUGCAAGUCUGACGUGAAAUCCCUCAGCUCAACUGAGGAAGUGCAUCGGAAACUGCAAGGCUUGAGUACUGAAGAGGAUCGCGGAAUUCCCGGUGUAGAGGUGAAAUUCGUAGAUAUCGGGAGGAACACCAGUGGCGAAGGCGGCGAUCUGGGCAGAUACUGACGCUGUAGAGCGAAAGCGUGGGGAGCGAACAGG
rnacentral:rRNA from 1 species